GCUCAAAUGGUAGAGCGCUCGCUUA
rnacentral:piRNA from 3 species